GUUUUAAUAAUUUAAUAAAAAUAUUGAUUUUGUAAAUCAAAUAUAGGAAUUAUCCUUUAAAUCAUC
rnacentral:tRNA from 1 species